rnacentral:rRNA from 1 species
GACGAACGCUGGCGGCGUGCUUAACACAUGCAAGUCGAACGGUAAGGCCCUUCGGGGUACACGAGUGGCGAACGGGUGAGUAACACGUGGGUGAUCUGCCCUGCACUUCGGGAUAAGCCUGGGAAACCGGGUCUAAUACCGGAUAGGACUCCGGACUGCAUGGUCGGGGGUGGAAAGCUUUUGCGGUGUGGGAUGGGCCCGCGGCCUAUCAGCUUGUUGGUGGGGUGAUGGCCUACCAAGGCGACGACGGGUAGCCGGCCUGAGAGGGUGACCGGCCACACUGGGACUGAGAUACGGCCCAGACUCCUACGGGAGGCAGCAGUGGGGAAUAUUGCACAAUGGGCGCAAGCCUGAUGCAGCGACGCCGCGUGAGGGAUGACGGCCUUCGGGUUGUAAACCUCUUUCAGCACAGACGAAGCGCAAGUGACGGUAUGUGCAGAAGAAGGACCGGCCAACUACGUGCCAGCAGCCGCCGUAA